AAAUGAAAUAAGGAGGGGAAGGGGACAGAAGAUAAACAGGGAGGGAGGAUAAAGGGGAGAACAUGAGAGCGGCAAGUUAAAGUGGUCACUAGAGCAGUAGACAGAAGGAAAGCGAGGAAUAUAAGGCAAGGGAAAGGUUAAGAAGAAGGUAAGAAGACAGCCUACGUGACUUCCAACAUCUAAGUGUGGACAGAGGAGACUAUCUGUAAAAAAGGAGAAGAAAUGGUCAUGAGGAAAGAGGGAGGUAGUGAAUUUUCAUCAUGGAAGCCAAAAGUAAAUUUUUGAAAGAAGGAUGUUUGAUAUAAGUGAUAUCUAAAAUUGCCAAGAAGAUCAAUUAUGAUGAUAAGUGAACAUUCAGUUGAAGUUUAAGAACAGAUACAACUCUGUAAUGGUGACAGCAGCCAUCGGAGUGGUUACGCGGAACUGCUCUCUGGGUUGUCCAUACUGAAUAGAGUGUUUGUCAUGAAAAGCUAAAAUCCGUAUCUUGAAGAAAACCUACCACGUAAAGAUGUUCCCUAGAAGAACCAUCAUGAUGAAAGGCUUGCAGCUGUAGUGUAACUCGCUUCUGGAUGCUUCAUUUUAUUUCUAUGGCCACCACUAUUUGUCUGGUUGUUUAUAGAAGCCGAGAAGCAGAACCCCUAUGGCUGAAGACUGGUCCUGAUAGAAAUUCUUCUUCUAAUCUCUGCAAACCUGGAAGAUGUUCAGGUCACCCUGUAAAUGAUUCAAAGCCAGAUACUAUGUAAUGUUACAUUUUUCCUCUAAAAUUCAGUCUGUAAACAAA